rnacentral:misc_RNA from 1 species
CGAAGCAACACUAUUACCAAUAUAACACUAUUAUCAAUAUGUUGUCCCGUGCUGAAGCGGCCCCCCCCCAGAUUUUUUGCCUCUGAUUGCCGGUUGGCUUGAUUUGUUGGAGGCGUUCACAUGGCUGUCACCUCACACUCACUGUUUAUUCUGCUUUGCUCGCGUUGCCGCCUGGACUUAGGUUUGGGCAGACCGCAGCAGAGUAUCAAUUUCGUGUUGGCAGUCUAGAGUG